AGCGAACGCUGGCGGCAGGCCUAACACAUGCAAGUCGAACGAAGUCUUCGGACUUAGUGGCGGACGGGUGAGUAACACGUGGGAACGUGCCUUUAGGUUCGGAAUAACUCAAGGAAACUUGUGCUAAUACCGAAUGUGCCCUUCGGGGGAAAGAUUUAUCGCCUUUAGAGCGGCCCGCGUCUGAUUAGCUAGUUGGUGAGGUAAAGGCUCACCAAGGCUACGAUCAGUAGCUGGUCUGAGAGGAUGACCAGCCACAUUGGGACUGAGACACGGCCCAAACUCCUACGGGAGGCAGCAGUGGGGAAUCUUGCGCAAUGGGCGAAAGCCUGACGCAGCCAUGCCGCGUGGAUGAUGAAGGUCUUAGGAUUGUAAAAUCCUUUCACCGGUGAAGAUAAUGACUGUAGCCGGAGAAGAAGCCCCGGCUAACUUCGUGCCAGCCGCCGCAGUAAGAC
rnacentral:rRNA from 1 species